GACGAACGCUGGCGGCGUGCUUAACACAUGCAAGUCGAACGAUGAAGCUGGAGCUUGCUCCGGUGGAUUAGUGGCGAACGGGUGAGUAACACGUGAGCAAUCUGCCCUUGACUCUGGGAUAACUGCGGGAAACUGUAGCUAAUACCGGAUACGACACCUUGGGGCAUCCCAGGGUGUGGAAAGAAUUUCGGUCAAGGAUGAGCUCGCGGCCUAUCAGCUAGUUGGUGAGGUAAUGGCUCACCAAGGCGACGACGGGUAGCCGGCCUGAGAGGGUGACCGGCCACACUGGAACUGAGACACGGUCCAGACUCCUACGGGAGGCAGCAGUGGGGAAUAUUGCACAAUGGGCGAAAGCCUGAUGCAGCAACGCCGCGUGAGGGAUGAAGGCC
rnacentral:rRNA from 1 species